UUCUUUGACACAAAAGAUUUGCGCGUGUCUUGCAGUGGUUCCGCUGUGGGAUUGGGCAAUGCUCAUUUCGGUCAAGGAUCUGGACCAAUAUUUCUGGAUGACGUCUCAUGCACCGGAAAUGAAGAUUCCAUCACAACCUGUUCUUUUGCCGGAUAUGGUCAAAGUGACUGUGAUCACACGGAGGAUGCCAGCGUUAUCUGUGACGCAGGACAUCAGAAUGUUAGCAUUAGACUUGUAGACGGAAAAGUUCCGAAUGAGGGGCGUUUGGAAGUGCUCUAUCAUGGCCGCUGGGGAACCGUAUGCGAUGACCUUUUCGACACAACAAAUGCCAAAGUAGUCUGCCGGAUGCUUGGAUUACCUACGGGCAAUGCUGAAGCCGUCCAUGGAGCUCGCUUUGGUUCCGGAAGCGGGACUAUCUGGCUAGACAACGUUGACUGUAGUGGGACCGAGAACUCGAUUGCUGAGUGUCGUCAUCAGGUGUGGGGCUCCAACAAUUGUGACCACACGGAGGAUGUCGGAGUCCGUUGCGGAAGUACUAUUGAGAGUCCAGUUCGUCUUGCGGGUGGAUCAACUCCUUAUGAAGGGCGUUUGGAAAUUUUCCAUGAAGGGAGAUGGGGAACGGUGUGCAACAAUGGAUUUGAUGCAACCGCAGCAAAAAUUAUUUGUAACAGCAUUGGAUACCCAAGCGACACCCCAUCUUUGAUGUCUGCGUCCGGUUUUGGGACCCCACCUUCCACCAUCUGGUUGGACGGUGUUAGAUGUAACGGUAAUGAGACUGCCAUUGAUGUGUGUACCCACAACAGAUUCGGCCUUAAUUCCUGUACCCACGACAAGGAUGUAGCCAUCAUGUGUAGAUCGCACGGUAUCAAAUGCUACCAUUGUGACGGUCUCUUAGACCCACAGACAUGUAAUGAACAGGUCCAAUGCUCCGCAGGCGAGGUGAGUAGGAGAUCCGCUAUCAAUUCAAAAAAUUCAAACUUAAAGGACUGAAGGACAGUUGCCAUUUUUAGACAGUUCUAGUUUCCUCGAAAAGAAGGGCUCAAUCUUUAUGGAAAGAGAAUGAAAAAAGUUGAGUUAUUAAAGCUGCUUGUUCCGAUUUUAUAUCAAAUAUUGUGAACGCUUUUAAACGAUAGUUAUGCUAAGAUGUGUAUAUUAAAAGACAUUGCAAGAGUUUUCCCGGUCAAUGAAGCCAUUAUUCAAAGAAAAAAUGAUGUACAAAAUCUGUUUUCAAAACAAACGACACAAAAGAUUGCCGCGUUGUUCGCCUUAUAUUAAAAUUUGCCCCCGACGUAGAGGCGGCCAUGAUUGUAUUACCACUUUGACAUCGCUUAAAUAUAUAUUUUGGCAAAUCAAAAAUAAAUUUAUGUACACAUUGUUUACUAAUAUUUCUAAAGUUUGCUUUGUUGAAUAAACCUAAUCGUUCAGGGUACAAAACCAAACGGUUCCCUUUUCUAAACAUUCCCUGGUUUGUUUUAAUUUUUUGUUUGCUCAAAAAGAAAUUAUUUUAUUUACUUUGAAUAUUCUAACUUUGAAAGGAGACCGAUUCUGUAAAUAGGCGAAAGUGUAUAUUGGUUUGUAUGGAAAAUUAUUUGAUAUUGUAAUAGCGAAAAAAUCGGACCAUGCAGCUUUAAGCUUAACAAAAUGUAGGUGUCUGUGAUGGCUAAUUGUUUUUGAAUUAUUAUUUGCAAGAAAAUAUAUCGGUGUGAAUUAAAAAAUAAUACCCAUAUGUAGUGCUGAUCAGUUAACUUUCGCUUAAUGGAGUCAUGUUUCUGGGAGUUUGAUUCUGCAGUCCUCUGUCUAGGUGUGUGAAGAGGCGGCAUUCAUCGCUAACGGGGAGACAAGAUUCUCACUCACCUGUCAGAGCAAACUGGUAUGCGAUGCGUUACAAGGUAAUGUGAUCGGAAGACGCAGCAUAGCCAAACGCCAGGGCCAGACGGUCCAAGUCAAGUGUUGCGACACCCCGCUCUGUAACAGGAAUCUGAUCGAUAAGUCCUCUAUACACGGAGGGCACGGGUCUCAUGGACACUCAACAACUGGUUGUCAGGACGACCCUAAGAUGGACUGUAAUGCCUUGGACGGUAUCAACAUCUGCGCCAACGUCCAGGCGGCCAAGAUCUACUGCCCCUUACAUUGCGGGCUCUGUACCUCCCCAUAGGUCAAACGCUUACCGCCAACUCAUAGUUUAUGUCUUUGUUCAUAAAUUGUUUGUUUCUUUUUAUUAAAAAAUGGAAAUCUC
rnacentral:misc_RNA from 1 species